rnacentral:rRNA from 1 species
GAGUUUGAUCCUGGCUCAGGAUGAACGCUGGCGGCGUGCUUAAUACAUGCAAGUCGAACGGAGAGUUAGCAAUAGCUCUUAGUGGCGAACGGGUGAGUAACGCGUUGGUGACCUGCCCCGAAGACAGGGAUAACAGUUCGAAAGGACUGCUAAUACCCGAUGAAGUUACGGUGAUUAGAAGGCUGUAACAAAAGGAGCGAUCCGCUUUGGGAGGGGCCUGCGUCCCAUCAGCUAGUUGGUAAGGUAAAGGCUUACCAAGGCGAAGACGGGUAGGGGACCUGAGAGGGUGAUCCCCCACACUGGCACUGAAACACGGGCCAGACACCUACGGGUGGCAGCAGUAGGGAAUAUUGCACAAUGGGCGAAAGCCUGAUGCAGCAACGCCGCGUGCGCGAAGAAGGCCUUCGGGUUGUAAAGCGCUUUUCUGGGAGAUGAGGAAGGACAGUAUCCCAGGAAUAAGGCUCGGCUAACUACGUGCCAGCAGCCGCGGUAAAACGUAGGAGCCAAGCGUUAUCCGAAUUCACUGGGCGUAAAGCGCGUGCAGGCGGCCCGAUAAGUUGGAUGUGAAAUCUCCUGGCUCAACUGGGAGAGGCCGUUCAAUACUGUUGGGCUCGAGGGCGACAGAGGGAGGUGGAAUUCCGGGUGUAGUGGUGAAAUGCGUAGAUAUCCGGAGGAACACCAGAGGCGAAGGCGACCUCCUGGGUCGUACCUGACGCUCAGACGCGAAAGCUAGGGGAGCGAACGGGAUUAGAAACCCCGGUAGUCCUAGCCGUAAACGAUGUAGACUGGGUGUCGGCGGGGUAAAAGCCGUCGGUGCCGAAGCCAACGCGAUAAGUCUACCGCCUGGGGACUACGGCCGCAAGGUUAAAACUCAAAGGAAUUGACGGGGGCCCGCACAAGCAGCGGAGCGUGUG